rnacentral:rRNA from 1 species
UACGGGGGGGGCAAGCGUUGUUCGGAAUUACUGGGCGUAAAGGGCUCGUAGGCGGCCAACUAAGUCAUACGUGAAAUCCCUCGGCUUAACCGGGGAACUGCGUCUGAUACUGGAUGGCUUGAGUUCGGGAGAGGGAUGCGGAAUUCCAGGUGUAGCGGUGAAAUGCGUAGAAAUCUGGAGGAACACCGGUGGCGAAGGCGGCAUCCUGGACCGAUACUGACGCUGAGGAGCGAAAGCCAGGGGAGCAAACGGG